UACGUAGGGGCCUAGCGUUGUCCGGAUUUAUUGGGCGUAAAGAGCUCGUAGGCGGUCUGUCGCGUCGGUCGUGAAAACUUGGGGCUUAACCCUGAGCUUGCGGUCGAUACGGGCAUGACUGGAGUUCGGCAGGGGAGACUGGAAUUCCUGGUGUAGCGGUGAAAUGCGCAGAUAUCAGGAGGAACACCGGUGGCGAAGGCGGGUCUCUGGGCCGAUACUGACGCUGAGGAGCGAAAGCGUGGGGAGCGAACAGG
rnacentral:rRNA from 1 species